GCUAACUUUCAGGAUUGAUCUGAUCUGUAAGGACUGUGGAGAAGAGUUCUGCACUGGAAAGAAUUCCUUCGCCCUACCCGGAUGGCCAAAGGAUCUCCCACUGUGCUACUGUAGCCCAAUUGCUGUUUUAAGUUUAGCUUAGCUCUUGAGCAACAGCCAAGUGCUGUGGUUCAAAGUGAAGACUGAUCCAUUCCUGCAGCAGCAGAUAGGUUUGUUGGAAUCCCAUAGGACAAGAAUUGUUUCGAUGUUGAGAAUUUUGCUAGCAAUGCUAAAAUAAUUGCAUUCAGUGUUGCUUUCUUAAAUGCAUUUGUAUAUAUAUAUAUAUAUAUAUAUAUAUACAUAUAUAUUUGUGUUUAUAUAUAUGUACACAAAUGUGCAUCGGCAGCACCUGUUACAGUGGUGGAUCUGGUGUUUUCAUCGUGUGGCGGUGUGCGCUGAUGAAUCUCCGUGCCGUUCAGCUUGUGAGUUGCAGUUUCCUGGUCGUAGGUGUGAACUGUGGAGCAGGAGGAUCGAUUAGGUUUUCUCUUGCUGUUUCUGGUUUACUCUAUGAGCAGUAGUCCUUCAGAAAUGCUUGCAGCACAGUCUAAAAUUGCCACAGUGGUCCAUGAUGUUUAGUUAAACUUUAGACUAAUCAUGGUAGUGCUCGAAUGAUUUAAGGUCGGAGGGGUUUGAUUGUAGAACUGUCAAGAGUGGUCACUCACUUGACAGUUUUCGUCAUUUCCAUGCGAAGGUUUAGAAUAUGUUGCUAGAUAGACUGAUUGAUCUGCACCAGUAUCUCAAAUCUGUCGAGGUCAAGCAAGAGGAAUGGAACUGAUACGUGAACCCGAAAGUGAGAACGUUUCUUUUGGAUGACGCCGUGGAUCAUAACAGGAUGCCAGAAGACAUUUGAGCAUCCGUGAAACAGGUAUUACGGUUGUUGUUGAACAAAAUUCUGCCUCUGGUCUGAAGGUCUUGUAACCACAAAUGAAGCAAUUCAAUGAGGAACGUGCUAGAGAGCUGCAUUAUUACCUUCUUCCCCUUUGAACUCGUACUUUGAAGAUGGAGUAGUUCUUGUCACUAACAAUAUAUGUGACAUAUUUUUUUUCUUUUUUGAGCAAAUGGGUAUCAAAACUUGAUACACAGCUGGCUGUUGGUCGACGAUGUGUUGAUCGGAGUCUGUAAUGUUAAUACCAAUGCAGCAAGUUUAACAGCAAUACAUGCAUCUAUUGUCAGAUACAAGUUAUUGUUAGUGAUUGUCGACACUACUGCUAUGAUUAUGGCGAGGUUCUGUGCUUUAAUUGUGCUUUAACUUAUCUUCCUCUAGAAGAUCUAGGACACGUUCUGCCCGUUCGGGUGUCCGAGAGAGGUUAACAAACAUGGAGGGCAGCUCAACUACUUGGUAUUGAGGUAGCCAUGGAUCUAGAGGGGUAGUGACAGAAGAAUCUUCUUUCAAGUCUGCUGGUUAUAAUCGGUUUGAAUGGAGCAAAACUUAAGAAGAAUUUGAUUGGGGUUGCAUAGAGUUACAGCCACAGUACAUGUAAACACACACAGCAAAUUUUCGACAAGCAAAAGAUUCACAGUUCCUGCAAA